AUACGUAGGUGACAAGCGUUAUCCGGAUUUACUGGGCGUAAAGGGCGUGUAGGCGGUCUUGCAAGUCAGAAGUGAAAUUCCUGGGCUCAACUCGGGCGCUGCUUCUGAAACUGCAGGACUUGAGUGCUGGAGGGGAUAGCGGAAUUCCUAGUGGAGCGGUAAAAUGCGCAGAUAUUAGGAAGAACACCGGUGGCGAAGGCGUCUCUCUGGACAGUAACUGACACUUAGGCGCGAAAGCGUGGGGAGCAAACAGGAUUGGAUACCCUGGGAGUCCACGCCGUAAACGAUGAAUACUAGGUGUAGGGGGUAUCGACUCCCUCUGUGCCGCAGUUAACACAAUAAGUAUUCCGCCUGGGGAGUACGGCCGCAAGGUUGAAACUCAAAGGAAUUGACGGGG
rnacentral:rRNA from 1 species